AAUUUCAAGCGGUAUCGACGUUGAAGCGCAUGAAGCAAACACAAGUUGCUGGUCUGUUUCCGCAGUGUCUUAGGAUGGAACUAGUUAUUUCGAAAGUAGAAUAUAAGCGUUAUAGGUCUAACGUUAGAGUCAAAGAACGAACAAGAAGCAAACGAGCGUGCUUUGUCGGGGAGCACCAGUCUAACUAGUACGAGGCAGCACCAGUUAUUGGAGAGCCUCAACCAAAUCGCUAACGAUUCCGCGCUGCAGGAGCGUACAAGCAUUAGCCUAGCAGUUUCAGCUGAAGGUGGUUUCGCUAUAAGUAGUAGAGUAGCUUUCUGCCCUGUGGAAACGGAGAUAGUAUACGCCAGCAGCCACCGCGGACCAACGUUUAGGCCGCGUUCAAUCAGCUCAGUCGGCUACCACUCCACUUCCUCGUCUCAUCCGCUGGGCAGCGCUACCCUACUCCGAUGUCCCUUCUCCCAGUACAGGGCACCACCGGGUCUACGUCGGCGGGGUACCGCCCGGAGCUGCUCGUGCCGGAGCUAGGCCGGAGUCGGCCUCCUGGAGCUCGGUUCCUCACGCCGGAGCUAACCCUGAGCCGUAGACCCCGCUGCUGCCUCCUCCUCCCCUUUCCUCCCCUCGUCGUCGAUCGUAGACCCCGCCGCCGCCGACCUGAGGUACUCGACCAGCUCCACGAAGUACAGUUCCUUCGUCGACUGUCACGUUCGACUCACUAGGUGCCGCUCCUUCUACCCCUUCUGUCUCGGUUGUGGCGGCUAAGGGUGCCUGGUGAAGUCAAUCUCGUAUUUUACCUCGGCCGUUGUCCCUACUACCCUAUUUGUUACCACCGACUUGUCACCUUUGGGCUUCGACCGACUCUUUCUCCCUCCGUCACGCACCGCCUUCUCCCGCAGGUACACCAUAGGCAAAGACCAGUAGAAGUCGAACGUCCUCAAUAUGAAAUGUAUGAAGAAACACCACACGUUUGUAAAAACCUUCUAAGACUUGUCCCUCAUCGUGUUCGUUAAUACACGAGUCACCAUCUAAAGUUUUCUCUGGGUUACGGGUCUCAUAGACUCGGACGAUUUCUGAAACAAGCUGUCUGCGACCUAGGGUUAGGGUUAGUGUGCCAAAUGAUGUUGUGUGCAUGAGCCACCACAGACAGCCAUCCUAGAGGGAUUUGUACACAGUAGUUUAGGUUGACGUUCGAUGUGCUGUUCGAUACUAACUUAUGGUACAUGUUGACUGGACGACUAAAACGACGACACGACCAGUCCCUCACGCAGGUGACUGUAUGCCUGUGUUCUCUAUAAGUCAAUACUCCUAAUCCUAUAAUUACUAGCAAGUCAGUAACUCCUAAUUUUCUCCGUAGUUACGAGGUCAUCUCCACCAUAACUUCAGCACCGACAGUCAUCUGGAAAAUAACUACGAUUGAUGUACGGUACCUCACUCAGGUCACUGUAUGUCUAUACUCUCUAUAAGCCAAUACUCCUAACCCCUUUAAUUACUAGUAAGUCAGUAACGCCUAAACUUUCCUCUGUAGUUCCGUCGUUUACCCCGUCAUAAAACUAGAGUAAAGUAGACUGCGUAACUUAUAAACAACAGAAGAAAUGUACGGUGGUUCAAGUACAACGAAAAGAACAUACUAAUAAAACAUCAGACGAGGUGACACUUGAAUUUACUUCUGGAUCCAACUAAAGAUUAAACACUUACAGUAACUCGACGACGAUGUGUGCGACUUUCUAACCCAACCAUCUGACUACAUGUAAACAAGUCAAGAAGGUAACAAAUCUACUAAGUCUUAAACCGAGUCCGGUCACCUAUUUUAUACGAAUAAACGUACCAACGACCACAUACAACCAGUACGUAGAUUUGAGUGAAUGAAGGGUACUAAAAUCCUACCGACGAUUCGAAGAGGAAAACGACUUUUCAGAUACCCGCUUACACAACGACACCUAUCGAACGGACAUACGUCUUAGAUAGGAAUCUAAGAUACUCUACUACGUAACCACACCAGUCGGAUGGACACACGUCUUAGAAACAAAUGUAAAACAGUCUUAAAACGAAAGAAGGAAUAACAAGGGUACCGCCAGACUAGGACAUCUAUUUAGCACACGCACAGAUACUAGAUGAUACAGACCACGUACAGAUACAUCAAUAGGCUACGUACAGAUACAUCAAUAGACAAAUUAUUUGAAUAUGAAUCAACCCAACAGACCUCUCAUAUUAUACCAACUUACUAACAAACGUACUAGUAUAGUAGUAAACCCCCUAACCAAACUCAAGGAGUCCUUUAAAUUAACAAGACGGUAUUUUGAAGUGACACUUUUAAAAUUAAAGGUUCAACUGCAAGCCAGUAUAUGUCCUUUUUGAGUGUAAAUAAACAUAGAGUUGAAAUAACCAAAUAAAUUGAUACAUAUAAUAUUCUAACCUCUACCUUUUUGAAAACCAAAACUUACACAGAAGACAUCAAUCGUUUGACAACGAUAAGAACGUCAGAUACUCUCGAUUUAAAUGUCCCGCUCUGAUCUAGGGUAGACAAACCUAAGUAGCACACGUAACCUCGGUGACGACGUUCUCGCAACUUGUGACACAACGUUCAUUAAGAAGACAGCAGGCUCCCCCUCUUUGAAUUAAGAUACUUGGACGAGAACAUGUACCGAGGUUAACAAGAGUAAGAGAACGAAGGACGAUGGGAGAAAUACCUCCUAUUACAACAACCGCAAUGUUGUCUUGACCAGUUUUUCCUAAAGUGAUAACAAACCAACGACAACAAGUUGAGAACGAACAUUAUAGGACAGUUAAAGUGGUUAAAGAACCACUGCUUUGUAUGAUCGCGUAACCGUGAUGUAUAAAGAACGUACCUCUCCUCGCAACGCUACUGUGGAGGUCUUGGAUGCGUUACUACUUUCGUCGGAGCGCUUCUAUCCUCAAUAGGACCAAUCAACAAGGACACCCUUUACCUCAGGGUACCGGUGACUACUUGGUGUUUGGUGAAGGCAGUAGAUGAUGAUCUUUGGUAAACAACAUGAGUAUCCGGUCUUACCAGAACAUGAUGUAUAAAACGUAAAACGAACCUUAAAGACAUAGUUCAACCACAGAGUAGUCGAUUGUCAUUAGGAUCCCUACCACUCGUGUUCCUGGUAGAAGACCCUUUAUUAUAGGGCUUGUAGGCCAGCGAUGUUGAUAACAUUACACUUUCCUGUCCUGAUGAUCCUCGCUUGAUGGCAUUACAAUUUCCUGCCGACCCCUGCUCAUCCUCGCCUGACGAUUGCCAAAAGGUUAACAUUUUUACGACUCACCCCGUGCGCUUGCCGUCCCGAAGGUACGAUGGUACU
rnacentral:rRNA from 1 species